ACGAACGCUGGCGGCAUGCCUAACACAUGCAAGUCGAACGAGACCUUCGGGUCUAGUGGCGCACGGGUGCGUAACGCGUGGGAACCUGCCCUUAGGUUCGGAAUAACUCCCCGAAAGGGGUGCUAAUACCGGAUAAUGUCUUCGGACCAAAGAUUUAUCGCCUUUGGAUGGGCCCGCGUUGGAUUAGCUAGUUGGUAGGGUAAAAGCCUACCAAGGCGACGAUCCAUAGCUGGUCUGAGAGGAUGAUCAGCCACACUGGGACUGAGGCACGGCCCAGACUCCUACGGGAGGCAGCAGUGGGGAAUAUUGGACAAUGGGCGAAAGCCUGAUCCAGCAAUGCCGCGUGAGUGAUGAAGGCCUUAGGGUUGUAAAGCUCUUUUACCCGGGAUGAUAAUGACAGUACCGGGAGAAUAAGCUCCGGCUAACUCCGUG
rnacentral:rRNA from 1 species